rnacentral:tRNA from 1 species
ACGGGCCUUGAUCCCACAAUAU